CGGCGUGCCUAAUACAUGCAAGUCGAACGCAUUGUGGUUGAAAUGAUAUGAAGAACUUGUUCAGAUUUGAUUUUCAACUAUUGCAAUGAGUGGCGAACGGGUGAGUAACACGUGGGAAACCUACCUCUUAGCAGGGGAUAACAUUUGGAACAAAUGCUAAUACCGUAUAAUAAUUAAAACCGCAUGGUUUUAGUUUAAAAGAUGGUCUUGCUAUCACUAAGAGAUGGUCCCGCGGUGUAUUAGUUAGUUGGUGAGGUAAUGGCUCACCAAGACAAUGAUACAUAGCCGAGUUGAGAGACUGACCGGCCACAAUGGGACUGAGACACGGCCCAUACUCCUACGGGAGGCAGCAGUAGGGAAUCUUCCACAAUGGACGAAAGUCUGAUGGAGCAACGCCGCGUGUGUGAUGAAGGGUUUCGGCUCGUAAAACACUGUUGUAAGAGAAGAAUGACAUUGAGAGUAACUGUUCAAAGUGUGACGGUAUCUUACCAGAAAGGAACGGCUAAAUACGUG
rnacentral:rRNA from 1 species